UUUCAUUCUGUUUAAAUAUGUACACGUGUUGUGGACGCCGACGUUUCUUUGGAGACGUGAAUUUAUGCUUUGGAUGAAUAAUUCAAUUAUACAAACACGUCGGACUUUGACGUCAUCAGUGGUCGACCAAAACAAAAACAUGGCGGAAAGUCAUUCGGCUGGACUUCGGUAGAAACUUCUCUUCUUUUUUGUUUAUCAUCCUUUCGUCUGUUUAGAGUCUGUCAGUGAUUUUGUAGAAUUGCAAUACUGCGUUCGCUGUUGGUACUGUAGAAGCUUAUGUUGUUCUCCGGGAGUUGCCAUAUUUGGCAGGGGGGUGUUAUGUUGGACUGCGCGGGUUUUUGGGUCGUGUCUAACGGAGACUGAAGGCACGAAUAAUGUUGUUAUCUUGCUGCACCAACGAACUUGGACCUUAUUGACUGCUGUCCGGGCGGAUUUACCAAAUAUAACCCUCUGCUACAAUACUACGGACACCAAAGACACAAAGCUGAAUGAUUUUGACUCACGUCCACUGUGUUUAAAAUCAAGUGGCCACUGAUAAAUUGGUAUUCAGGCUGAACUCACUCAACUGAGGAGCAUCAUGGAUGACGAUGAUGCCUUAUUUCUUGCUGAUUUGCUGUUGGAGGAAUGCAAGAAUACUCAACCUAAAGAAUCCUCAGAAGUGUCUGGACCGGACAAAUUUACAUUUGUUUGGGUUGAGGAGGACGAGGAAGGGAAUCCUCUCCCAAAGGGGAGGAGAACAGGGAAGAAGCGGGUAAAGAGUUCAUCCUCAGCGUUUCCAUCCACAAUUCCAUGGUUUUACAUAAUAGAUCAUCCAUGAUAGAGGGAUUCUACAGGCCACUGCCACCAACCACUCACAUCAGUGAAGAGAAGGGAGGAAAAUUCUCCUUCCAUGGAAGAGAGUGCAUUUUGCUAGUAAUGCAUCCAUGCUGUGACUGCUGCUCUGGGCAUACAACCUUUUCUGCAGGAAAGCAAGUAAUUCUGAUUGGAAUGAAUGGUCGAUACAAUGUGUCCCUCCCAACUGUCAGCUGCUCCUGCGGGAAAGCUUUGGAUGUCGGUAUUAGUGAGCUGAUUGAAAGUGGCUACUGGCCAGCUACAGUCCAUUUUGAGACGCUGUACACAGUGGAUUUGUUCGCUACAUACGAAGAUCUCAAGAUUACUGCACCAGGAAUGUCAAGCUUUCGUUGGUAUGCUUGAGCAGCGCACAAAACUCUUUGGUCGGUGUGGUAAAAUAUGUGGCGACACCAUGCAAGAAUCAUUCCUGGAAUGGUCGUACGCAAAAUUUGAAGUUGAGAGGCUGUCUGAAGUCGCUCAGUUUCAGUGCCCAGCCUGCACACCCUCAAUGUUAGCUGUCUCAGUGGAUGGGAACCUGAACUUGAAAAAACCAUUGAAGGACUGUAUCUCUGCAUCAAGCAGCGGAAAUAUCAGCUGUAUCGUCAGGCUGAUGGCAACAAGAGAAGACAUCUGCUUAGAAAAAAGAUUUCAAUGGAAAAGAGAUCCUUAGAAGAUGCCAUCACAAAAUACAAUGCUGUUGUGCCGGAAACUGGCAAACUCCCUUCUCCCAACGAGCUCCUGGCUGAGGAAAACUAUUCCUGGCCUUGGGAAUGUCAUGGUGAUAUGUUAAAGAAAAAAAAGGUCUUCGACAAGGUAAUGCUGAUGAAACGACUGAAGGAAGAGGAGGUCAUUGUUGUCCGUGAAGUCAAGUAGCACUGGGAGUACAUGAGGAAUAUGGCUGGAAAUAUUCAAGAGAUUUCCUCCCAGCUUUCAGAAGGGAUCACUCAGCAAAGCGGCACAGAUGCAUUGACUGGGAGAGGACGUGAGGGGCUACUCUGUCUGCUGAAGAGAAGACUGUCAGCAAUUCAAGCUCAGCAGGGUGCGGCUCGCUCAACGUGCCAACAUGUUUUUGGAUCGCAAGCCUUGUCUCUCGAUGAUUCCUCCACUGAUGAUGAAGAACCCCAUGAUAGCAGCUCCUCCACCGAAGAUGAAGAACACUAGCAUUGUAGCUCCUCUUCUGAACUUUGACCUCCCUCAUUAAAAAAUGAGGAAAACUGUUGUAAUUACCUGGCCUGCAGUAUGAAUGUGAAAUGUUAAAAUAAACUGUCCUGCAAUUGACUCUUUUUCUGAGUUAUGUACUAUUACUAUUUUGAAGUAGAUGCUGAUGCUUUUUAUGUAAAUUAUGAAUGAUUAAUUUGAGAUUUAUUGGUAGGGCAGUGAAAUACGGCUUUUCAUGCAGCCUCA